rnacentral:rRNA from 1 species
AUUGAACGCUGGCGGCAUGCUUUACACAUGCAAGUCGAACGGCAGCGCGGGCUUCGGCCUGGCGGCGAGUGGCGAACGGGUGAGUAAUGCAUCGGAACGUGCCCAGUAGUGGGGGAUAGCCCGGCGAAAGCCGGAUUAAUACCGCAUACGACCUGAGGGUGAAAGCGGGGGACCGAAAGGCCUCGCGCUAUUGGAGCGGCCGAUGUCGGAUUAGCUAGUUGGUGGGGUAAAGGCUUACCAAGGCGACGAUCCGUAGCUGGUCUGAGAGGACGACCAGCCACACUGGGACUGAGACACGGCCCAGACUCCUACGGGAGGCAGCAGUGGGGAAUUUUGGACAAUGGGGGCAACCCUGAUCCAGCCAUGCCGCGUGCGGGAAGAAGGCCUUCGGGUUGUAAACCGCUUUUGUUCGGGAAGAAAUCCUCUGGGCUAAUACCCCGGGGGGAUGACGGUACCGGAAGAAUAAGCACCGGCUAACUACGUGCCAGCAGCCGCGGUAAUACGUAGGGUGCGAGCGUUAAU